UUGCGAGGAGUUUCAUCGAACGGUAAGGGAAGUCGCGGUCGGAGAGAACGGAGAGAAACUCUUGACCGACCGCUCCGGUGACGCCGACGACGGCGACGGAUGGGCCGUUCUCUUGGAGAGACAUGCGGACGCGGAAAGGCGAGGUGGAGGUGGUGAUGGAGCGUGGUCGUGGAAUGGUGGUGCCGCCGCGGUAGAGGAAAUGGUUGUGGCGGACAGAAAGUGCUGGAGUGUUCAUUUUUGCGGGAAGCGGCGGCGGACUCAAGGGCGGCUCAACGUUAAGGCAAGUGAAGCCCUUACCUGAGGCGCCCAAAUAUUCUCCGACGACGGCGACGGAUGGGCCGUUCUCUUGGAGAGACAUGCGGACGCGGAAAGGGGAGGUGGAAGUGGUGAUGGAGCGUGGUCGUGGAAUGGCCGUGGCGCCGCCGUGGAGGAAAUGGUUGUGGCGGACAGAAAGUGCUGGAGUGUUCAUUUUUGCGGGAAGCGACGGUGGACUAAAGGGCGGCUCAAGGUUAAGGCAAGAGAUGCCCUUCCUUAGGCGCCCAAAUAUUUAAGGUCCCC
rnacentral:lncRNA from 1 species